rnacentral:rRNA from 1 species
GAUGAACGCUGGCGGCGUGCCUAAUACAUGCAAGUCGAGCGAACGGACGAGAAGCUUGCUUUUCUGAUGUUAGCGGCGGACGGGUGAGUAACACGUGGAUAACCUACCUAUAAGACUGGGAUAACUUCGGGAAACCGGAGCUAAUACCGGAUAAUAUUUUGAACCGCAUGGUUCAAAAGUGAAAGACGGUCUUGCUGUCACUUAUAGAUGGAUCCGCGCUGCAUUAGCUAGUUGGUAAGGUAACGGCUUACCAAGGCAACGAUGCAUAGCCGACCUGAGAGGGGGGUCGGCCACACGGGAACUGAGACACGGUCCAGACUCCUAAGGGAGGCAGCAGUAGGGAAUCUUCCGCAAUGGGCGAAAGCCUGACGGAGCAACGCCGCGUGAGUGAUGAAGGUCUUCGGAUCGUAAAACUCUGUUAUUAGGGAAGAACAUAUGUGUAAGUAACUGUGCACAUCUUGACGGUACCUAAUCAGAAAGCCACGGCUAACUACGUG